CCUGCCUCAGCCUCCUGAGUAGCUGGGAUUACAGGCAUGCGCCACCACGCCCUGGUAAUUUUGUAUUUUUAGUAGAGACAGGGUUUCUCCAUUUUGGUCAGGCUGGUCUUGAACUCCCGAUCUCAGGUGAUCUGCCUGCCUAGGCCUCCUAAAGUGCUGGGAUUACAGGCCUGAGCUACCGCGCCCGGCCUGGACUUAUUUUUUAUGUUUCCCCUACUAGGACAUCAGCUCCACGAGGGCAGGGGUCUCUGUCCUGUUCACUCCUCCAUCCCUAGUGCCAGGACACAGAAUAGGCACUCAGUGAAGAAGUAAACAAUAAAUAAAUAAACAACAGGCUGGGCAGAGUGGCUCAUACCAGUGCCUGAUCCUCCCAGCACUUUAGGAGGCCGAGGCUAGAGGAUCGCUUGAGCACAGGAGUUCAAGACCAGCCUGGGCAACAUAACAAGACUUUGUCUCUACAAAACAAAUAAUAAUAAUAAAUAAAAAUUAAAAAUUAAAUUAGUUGGGCAUGGUGGCACAUGUCUGUAGUCCCAUCUGCUUGGAAAGAUGAGGUAGGAGGAUCACUUUAGCCCAGGAGUUGGAGGCCGAAGUGAGCUAUAAUAUUGUGCCACUGCACUCCAGCUUGGGCAACAGAGCAAGACCCUAUCUCUAAGGAAAAAAAAAGUCCUAUGAGGCCAAUCAUUAUCAACGUGUUAAGGCCCUUUUUAAAAAGCUAAGACUGGGCCAGGCGCAGUGGCUCACGCCUGUAAUCCCAGCACUUUGGGAGGCCGAGAUGGGAGGAUCACUUGAGGUCAGGAGUUCGAGACCAGCCUGACCAACAUGGUG
rnacentral:lncRNA from 10 species